UGUUGUUCUUAAGCAGGAUUGAGUGUCACAGUCAGCCAAGAAACUUUUAAAAAAUACAGAUAGAGCAAGAUGGCUCACUAGAGAUCCCUGACAUCCUUCCUCUCAAUAAGAAAGGACCAAGGCAGCAAAUAAACUGCUAAGGCUUGACUCGAGUCAUACGGGAGAGCACUGAAGUGAAUCAGGGGAGGGAAGAUGCAUUUGUGGUGGUUGCAAGUCCAGGGGGACCCCCUGCAGGCACCUGGCCUCUGCAGCCCUGGCUGCCCUGCCCAGGUCAAUUUGAAGUCAGGGGUACUUCCUGUUACAGGUAAAAAGAUAAGCAGAAGAUCUCCACCAGCCCUCACUGUCACGGCAACACCUAGUCCUCGUUACAGGAGAAUCCCACAGUCAUCGCAAGCCCUGAGUCCGGUGUGAAGGGCUGCUGGGAAUCUACGCCACUGCCUUGAACCAGCAGCACCUUGCCUGACUCUGGGUCUACCAAAGGAGCUCAGUGUGCAUUUGCCGAUUGAUUCCAGUAAGCCAAGAAAUGAAGGGCCACAAGGAAAGAGAGAGGGACCAAUGAGAAGUCCCCAUUUCCUCAGCCUUCCAGCAGCAAGACAUAGCUGACAAAGAAACUGGUUGGUAUACUUGGUGACAUACUGCUUGGACCUUGGGACAACAUCUUCCCUUCUGAGAUUGUGAACAGGUGUCUCAGUGUGUGUGAGAACUUGCAAUCUCUCUGCCUGUCCAUGUAGUAUCCUUCUGCUAUCAAAGAGUGCACACUGCUUUCAGGACACAGUGGGAUACAGCGAAGCAGCCAUCCCAGAG